GUCUUCAUAUAUUAAGGAUAUAGUUUUAAAAAGAUAAGUAGAAUUUCUUGAAAAACUUAUAUUUUCAUCUCUUACACUCCUGUACAUAUGCCUUCCAAUUCAGGAAGCUUGUUAUGGGUUGCCAUUGUUCAUAUCUUUAAACUUUCAUAAUUUUUUUUGUUCAUAGCAGAUCUUUAUAAGUAGCUGUAUAUCUGUAUUUAUUUUUCAACUAGUUCAUGCAGACUGAAAGUGUAUGAUAUCUGGUAUAGACUUGUUGAAAACUACUGGUCUUUUCUAUUGUCAGUGUGCUGUCAUAGUGAUGAAUAUCCCACUUUAUCCUUUUUUG
rnacentral:lncRNA from 1 species